AUGGAGCUGGAUGGUAUUUGUACGAUCUGCGGGCAAGAGGAAGAAACGGCUCAUCAUGCACUAAUCCGAUGCCCUCAUGCUCAGAACUUGUGGGACGCAAUGCGAAGGGUCUGGGAUUUACCAUCUGUUGAAUCUCUUAAAAAUGAACAGCCGGACUGGUUGUUAAUACUGCUACAGGAGCUGAACGACACACAACGCAUGCUUGUACUCAUGGUGCUAUGGCGUGUGUGGCAUGUACACAAUGAGCUUACCCAUGAGAAGCCAAUGAUCCCCGUUGAAGUGUCUAAACGUUUUUUGUGCAGCUAUGCGGAAUCACUACUCAUGAUCAGUCAGUAUCCGCAUGCAGAUAUCAUCAAGGGGAAGCUACCGAAUAUAUUGGAAGGGGCUGUACUGCAUAGCACCAACAGCGAGUCAAGACGCCCGGCCACGGCAUCAUGGGAACCUCCGCCAGAAAAUCAUGUCAAGCUAAACUUUGAUGGAUCAUAUGUCGCCGCCGACGGAUCCGCAGGAGCGGGCAUGGUCCUGCGUGACCAUACUGGCCAGGUGAUCUAUGCCGCCUGUAGAUGGUUCCUAGACUGCCAUGGGCCGCUCGAGGCUGAGCUCGCUGCAUGUGAGGAGGGACUUAAGUUGGCGUUGCAUUGGUCCCAGAAGCCGCUACUAGUGGAGACGGACUGUGCUGAAAUUUUAUCUUUGAUAAAUGCUCGCUCAACUGAUCGAUCGAGAAACAUGUAUCAAGUGGCUAAAAUCUCAGACCUACUGAAGGAGAGGCAAACUCAAAUCAAGAAGAUUAGCUGGACGCAGAACAAGGUUGCGCAUGCUAUGGCAUCCAUUGGACGAGCACAAGAAUGA
rnacentral:rRNA from 1 species